GACGAACGCUGGCGGCGUGCUUAACACAUGCAAGUCGAACGAAGUGGCGAACGGGUGAGUAACGCGUCAUCAACCUGCCCUUCAGAGGGGGACAACAGUUGGAAACGACUGCUAAUACCGCCUAAUGAAGGAGGGGAUUGCGUCUGAUUAGCUAGUUGGGGGGGUAACGGCCCACCAAGGCGAUGAUCAGUAGCCUGGCUGAGAGGAUGAACGGCCACAUUGGGACUGCGACACGGCCCAGACUCCUACGGGAGGCAGUAGUGGGGAAUCUUCCGCAAUGGACGAAAGUCUGACGGAGCAACGCCGCGUGGGUGAUGACGGCUUUCGGGUUGUAAAGCUCUGUUAAUCGGUACGCGGUACCGGAAUAGAAAGCCACGGCUAACUACGUGCCAGCAGCCGCGGUAAUAC
rnacentral:rRNA from 1 species